UGGUUGAUUCUGCCAGUAGUCAUAUGCUUGUCUCAAAGAUUAAGCCAUGCAUGUCUAAGUAUAAAUAACUCACAGUAAAACUGCGUAUGGCUCAUUAAAACAGUUAUAGUUUAUUUGAUACAUUCUAAAUGGAUAACUGUAGAAACCUAGAGCUAAUACAUGCCAAAUCCGAAAGGACGUAUUUAUUAGAUAUUCCUAAGAGGUGAUUCAUAAUAACUCAACAAAUCUUGCUUAAGCAAAGAUAAAUCAUAUAAGUUUCUGCCCUAUCAUGCUUUCGAUGGUAGUGUAUUGGACUACCAUGGCUUUCACGGGUAACGGAGGAUUAGGGUUCGAUUCCGGAGAAGGAGCCUGAGAAAUGGCUACUACGACUAAGGUUGGCAGCAGGCGCGUAAAUUACCCAAUCCUGACUCAGGGAGGUAGUGACAAGAUAUAGCAACUUACUUUUUAAGUGGAUUGCAGUGAGGGUAUUCUAAACCGAACUCUAAGUACUAUUGGAGGGCAAGUCUGGUGCCAGCAGCCGCGGUAAUUCCAGCUCCAAUAGCAUAUAUUAAAGUUGUUGCAGUUAAAAAGCUCGUAGUUGGAUUUUUAAGGAUAUGCUUGGGGUUUCCCAUCCAUACCUUCCCAGUCACUGACUGUUACCGUGAGAAAAUUAGAGUGUUUCAAGCAGGCUAUUGCAGGAAUAUAUUAGCAUGGAAUAACGAAUAAAUCUAGAAUCUUGGUUAAUUCUAGGUCUUGAUUAAUAGGGACAGUUGGGGGCAUUAGUAUUUAAUAGUCAGAGGUGAAAUUCGUGGAUUUAUUAAAGACUAACCUAUGCGAAAGCAUUUGUCAAGGAUGUUUUCAUUAAUCAGCGGGCUAAAGAUAGGGGAUCAAAGACGAUCAGAUACCGUCGUAGUCCUAUCCAUAAACUAUACCGACUCGGGAUUGGAAUAAAUACGUUUUAUUUCAGUACCGUAUGAGAAAUCAUUAAGUCUUUGGGUUCUGGGGGGAGUAUGGUCGCAAGUCUGAAACUUAAAGAAAUUGACGGAAGGGCACCACCAGGAGUGGAGCCUGCGGCUUAAUUUGACCCAACACGGGGAAACUUACCAGGUCAAGACAUGACAAGGAUUGACAGAUUGAUAGCUCUUUCUUGAUUUCAUGGGUGGUGGUGCAUGGCCGUUCUUAGUUGGUGGAGUGAUUUGUCUGGUUAAUUCCGAUAACGAACGAGACCUUAACCUGCUAACUAGUCUAGUUCAUUACAUGAAUAUAAACUUCUUAGAGGGACUAUGCUGCGAUAAGCACAUGGAAGUUUGAGGCAAUAACAGGUCUGUGAUGCCCUUAUAUGUCCUGGGCUGCACGCGUGCUACACUGAUGCAUACAACAAGUACCUAGUCUGUAAAGACAAGGCAAUCUCGAAUAUGCAUCGUGAUGGGGAUAGAACUUUGCAAUUAUAGUUCUUGAACGAGGAAUUCCUAGUAAAUGCAAGUCAUCAUCUUGCAUUGACUAUGUCCCUGCCCUUUGUACACACCGCCCGUCGCUCCUACCGAUACCGGGUGAUCAGGUGAAUUAUUUGGACCGUUACGCGGAAAGAUUCGUUAACCUUAUCACCUAGAGGAAGGAAAAGUCGUAACAAGGUU
rnacentral:rRNA from 1 species